rnacentral:lncRNA from 10 species
GGGAACGGUGGCUGCCCUCCACCUACUCUUGACCAGGCCUGAGGGUGGGAAGCAUAAAAACCCAGCCCCUCCCCGGAGUGGGGUAACAGCCAGGCCGAAGCCCUGCUCUUCACUCUUCGGGCUUUGCUGAGAGCCUCCCCCUUGGCCACCUCCCUUUCUGUUCUACUCCCCACUUCCCUGCUGACUUCCCAAGAGUACUUACUCAGUCGGCCUUGGAUGAAUGUCUGGCCUCCAUGAUGGGGGGACCCUCACACCAGAAUCAGAGCUGACCUGUAUGACCAACACAGUGUGGCAGGAGUGACAGUGUGUGACAUCCAAGACUGGAUCUGAAAAACCCUUGCAGCUUCCCCCCUCCACACAAACACACCCACUUGAAUCUCUCACUUUAAGGAAGCUGGGCACCAUGCCUCCCUGCCACUCUGAGGACACCCAAGCAGUGCAUGAAGAGGCCCAGGUGGAAAGGAAUUAAGAGCCCUGGCAAGCAACCUACAACAAUUUUCCUGCCAUGUGAGUGGAUCCUUAGCCCCAGUUGAGCUUUCAGAUAAUGGCAGCCCCAGCCAUCAACUACCUUCAACCUUAUGAGACCCCAAGCACAGCCCAACCGAGAUUCUCAGUUCCUUAUGCACAGAAACAGUGAGAAAUGAGAAGUGAUUGCUGUUGUUUUGAACCUUAAUUUCGGAGGUAAUUUGUUAUGCAGCAAUAAAUAACUAAGACAUCUUCUGAAAUGUCUCUCAAUCCCUCUUCUAUAUUUUCUGUGCUGUCUCUCUCCACUAUUUUCUGAAUAAUUUUUGGCUAUAUCUUCUAGUUCACUAAUUCCCCCUCAGUGGUAUCUAAU